AGCGAACGCUGGCGGCAGGCCUAACACAUGCAAGUCGAGCGCCGUAGCAAUACGGAGCGGCAGACGGGAGAGUAACACGUGGGAACGUAUCCUUUGGUUCGGAAUAACCCAGGGAAACUUGGGCUAAUACCGGAUAAGCCCUCACGGGGAAAGAUUCAUCGCCGAAGGAUCGGCCCGCGUCUGAUUAGCUAGUUGGUGGGGUAAUGGCCCACCAAGGCGACGAUCAGUAGCUGGUCUGAGAGGAUGAUCAGCCUCACUGGGACUGAGACACGGACCAGACUCCUACGGGAGGCAGCAGUGGGGAAUAUUGGACAAUGGGCGCAAGCCUGAUCCAGCCAUGCCGCGUGGGUGAUGAAGGCCCUAGGGUUGUAAAGCCCUUUCGGCGGGGAAGAUAAUGACGGUACCCGCAGAAGAAGCCCCGGCUAACUUCGUGCCAGCAGCCGCCGCGGUAA
rnacentral:rRNA from 1 species